CGCCGGUGAAAUACUACGUAAUUGCAUUGAUUGCGAUGGUCAAGGAAAAGGAUUUGAUGACUCAACACUUCUCUGAGGUGUUCUAUAAAACAAAUGAAACAGUAGCACUUGCUGCCGGCAUUUUUCACAGGAAAGCGGUAUUGCUUCUGUUUUGGUGCCUAUUCAGUCGGUAAAAGAGCAUUUGUUGAAGGAAGGCAUAGAAGUUCAAAUUUGAUCAUAAGCAUUUAAGUGGUAAAAUUUUGAGAUGCACUUCAUAAUAAGCAGCACUAUCACUCUGACCAUUUGUUAGUACAAAAUUGUUUCAUGUGUCACCUGUAUGGUAUAGUGUGUGAUGUUUCUUGUGGGUUUGAUAUUGGUUAUGGUUAUUUGCUAUGUAUAUAUUUAAGAUGACGAGACACUACUCAAAAUAUUUUUAAUAUAAAAAAAUAUAUUGUACGUUCUGAUGUCACAUACUCACAUGUCUAUGAUUCCGGCCAAUAUAUAUACAAAUCAGCCAAAGAUUUUCAAUUUAUGACAAGAGUUAAUAAAACUCUGGUGGCACGUAGAUAUUAGUUUGGCUUAGGACUACGCAAUCGUAGUAAUUUCAUACUAUAUACCUAUUCAGCAAAAGGACAAGUUGAUGCAGUAUAUAGGUACUUGUCGUAUUCUCUUCCAAUCAAAAUUAUAAUUUAUUUCAAUAAUAAACAUAAUAAAAGUUUGCAUUAAAAGUUAACAUAGAUUAUCAAACUAAAACUCUAAUUCUGAUUAAAGUGCAAUACCAAAAAUGCGAAAUUAUAUACAAGUUUGGGGGCAAACGAACCUUUAGGGUAAUCUUUUUCUAAAUUAUUUAAGAACUCGUAAAGUAGAAAAGGAAAAAAUAAGUCAUAAAAUGAUUUUAGUUCCUUUCUGAAUAUUUUAGUUCCUUUCUUCCUAAGUUUUGUCCAGUGUAAAAUUCUACAAAAGUAAGCAAAAUAAUUACAUCCAUCGGCAAAGAAACAUCUUAGAAAAGUUUUUUUAAAAGAAGCUCAGAAUUACAUGUAUUUCCAAAGUGUGACAUUUUUUUUUCUAUUGGUAAAUUACAAUCACAAUCUCAUUGGGUACGCUCCUGCAACUUGCUCCCUCAUUAUUUCUUUUAUUUGUUUAAUUACAUUGACAGAUCAGCAAUAAGACAAUCUGAUUGGCUAUGCCCGUACACGCAACUUGCUCAAUAAUUGAACACUAAAGAAUGACUAAGGGAAAGUGAAAGUCUUCUUCCUCUUGAAAUACACACUUUACUUUCUUCUCAUCUCACUCUCAACACAUAACAAUAGCAGAAACUAGAUCUAUACUAAGAUGAAGAAAUUGCAAGAAAUUGCAGUGUCCUUGGCUGUUGAUUAUUUGCUUCCACCCUUAAAGAAAGCAGUGAAUUCAGUCAUGGAGGUUCCAAAAGAUGCUGCAGACAUGAACGACAAACUUGAUGGGAUUCAAGCCAUGAUUCAUGAUGUCGACAAGAUGGCAGCAGCUGAAGAAGGAAACUCACGUGAUGCUCUCAAAGCAAAGGUGAAGCAGCUGGUGGAAACAUCUUUUUGCAUGGAAGAUAUCGUUGAUGAAUACAUUAUCCAUCAGGAAAGGCAGCUUGCUGAUGAUCCUGGAUGUGCAUCCUUACCUUCAAUUUGCAUACAUGAACCAGGACGUGAUAUCAGAAUUUCGAGGGAUCAAGGAGAGGAACAAAAGUGAGGAUUGCUCCCAAAUUCAAUCUUCUGGAGGACCCCAAAACAUCACGUUUGACAACCUUCGAAUGGCUCCUAUGUUUCUUAAGGAGGCUGAGGUUGUGGGCUUUGACAGCCCUAGAGACACAUUGGAAAGAUGGUUGAAAGAGGGGCGGGAAAAGCUCACUGUUGUCUCUGUGGUAGGAAUGGGAGGAAGUGGAAAAACUACUCUUGCCAAGAAAGUUUUUGACAAAGUCCAGACACACUUCACUCGCCAUGUCUGGAUCACAGUGUCUCAGUCAUAUACCGUAGAAGGAUUGCUGCUCAAGUUUCUGGAAGCAGAAAAAGGAAAGGAUCCUUCGCAGAGUGCUUAUUCUACAAUGGAUAAAGCAUCGUUGAUACAUGAGGGUGUUGCGCUUGACAAAGUUUGAGCCAAGAUUCAAAAGUUUUCUGUGCUCCUUGAUAAACAAGAUGCAACACCUGGAGAAGUUAUAUAUUGUUGGUCAUGGUGACUAUAUGAAGAUGGAUUUGCAUUUUGAUGUAUUUGCACCUGUACUUCAGAAGGUUCGUCUUAUGGGGCGGUUAAAGAAGUUCCCAAACUGGGUUGCCAAGCUCCAAAAUCUUGUUACGUUGUCCUUGUCAUUCACCCAGUUGACACAUGAUCCAUUGCCACUACUUAAAGAUGUACCAAUUUUGACGCACCUUUGUAUCCUCCAUUUUUGCAUACAAUGCUGAAGUUUUGCAGUUUCCAAACAGGGGGUUUCCGAACCUAUAGCAAAUACUACUGGCAGAUUUGUAUCAUUUGAAAUCCAUCGUUAUUGAAGAUGGAGCAUUGCCUUCUCUCGAAAAGCUCGAGUUAGACAAUAUUGAGGAACUGACAGAGGUGCCUCGUGGUAUUGACAAGUUACCAAAGCUUAAGGUUUUCCAUUGUUUUGAUAUGUCAUAUAAAUUUAAAGAAAACUUUAAUCUCAACAGAAGACAACGUCGUCAAUGGAUAAUAGAAUGAUAGUGGGAAUGAAAAAAGUCCGUCUUUCAAAGCUCUGGGAUUAAUUUAAGUGUCACGGACUUCUACUUGAAUUGGUACUUUGGCAACAACAGCGUUGAAUCAUCAUGAAAACUGCCUUGGAAUUCAGCAUUGUUCCUUCAAGUCUCCAAAUAAACAGAAUAUGUGGACCUAUCUUAAUUUCUUUAGCAAAGUGAUAAAAUUAACUUCUGAAUUAAUGGUAGUGAUGUGAGACAUUUGGCUUUUUAUUCAAUGCCUUCUUAGAUACAUCAUGUUUGCACCAUGUUAUGAGAAUUCCUCUUUCAAUGAAUAAGGUCUUACCAUACAUUGAAAUCUGUUUUCUAUUUGUGAAUGUGGAGAAAAACAAUUUGUCA